UAUUAGCCCAGACGCUUGUAUCACGAAAAGUGUCUCUGUUGAAAUCCGAACAAAGUCACUUCUAUCUCCAGUUAUAGCGAUUCUUAGUUUUACACUAAAACGGUAAUUUUACCGGUAAUACCGGUUCAUCGACAUCA